rnacentral:rRNA from 1 species
UCGUAACAAGGUCUCCGUUGGUGAACCAGCGGAGGGAUCAUUACUGAGUUUACGCUCUACAACCCUUUGUGAACAUACCUAUAACUGUUGCUUCGGCGGGUAGGGUCUCCGCGACCCUCCCGGCCUCCCGCCCCCGGGCGGGUCGGCGCCCGCCGGAGGAUAACCAAACUCUGAUUUAACGACGUUUCUUCUGAGUGGUACAAGCAAAUAAUCAAAACUUUUAACAACGGAUCUCUUGGUUCUGGCAUCGAUGAAGAACGCAGCGAAAUGCGAUAAGUAAUGUGAAUUGCAGAAUUCAGUGAAUCAUCGAAUCUUUGAACGCACAUUGCGCCCGCCAGCAUUCUGGCGGGCAUGCCUGUUCGAGCGUCAUUUCAACCCUCAAGCUCUGCUUGGUGUUGGGGCCCUACAGCCGAUGUAGGCCCUCAAAGGUAGUGGCGGACCCUCCCGGAGCCUCCUUUGCGUAGUAACUUUACGUCUCGCACUGGGAUCCGGAGGGACUCUUGCCGUAAAACCCCCAAUUUUCCAAAGGUUGACCUCGGAUCAGGUAGGAAUACCCGCUGAACUUAAGCAUAUCAAA